rnacentral:rRNA from 1 species
AUUGAACGCUGGCGGCAGGCCUAACACAUGCAAGUCGAGCGGAUGAAGGGAGCUUGCUCCUGGAUUCAGCGGCGGACGGGUGAGUAAUGCCUAGGAAUCUGCCUGGUAGUGGGGGAUAACGUCCGGAAACGGGCGCUAAUACCGCAUACGUCCUGAGGGAGAAAGUGGGGGAUCUUCGGACCUCACGCUAUCAGAUGAGCCUAGGUCGGAUUAGCUAGUUGGUGGGGUAAAGGCCUACCAAGGCGACGAUCCGCAACUGGUCUGAGAGGAUGAUCAGUCACACUGGAACUGAGACACGGUCCAGACUCCUACGGGAGGACGCAGUGGGGAAUAUUGGACAAUGGGCGAAAGCCUGAUCCAGCCAUGCCGCGUGUGUGAAGAAGGUCUUCGGAUUGUAAAGCACUUUAAGUUGGGAGGAAGGGCAGUAAGUUAAUACCUUGCUGUUUUGACGUUACCAACAGAAUAAGCACCGGCUAACUUCGUG